rnacentral:rRNA from 1 species
GUAACACGUGAGCAACCUGCCCUAGGCUUUGGGAUAACCCCGGGAAACCGGGGCUAAUACCGAAUAGGACCCGCGAUCGCAUGGUUGUGGGUGGAAAGUUUUUCGGCCUGGGAUGGGCUCGCGGCCUAUCAGCUUGUUGGUGGGGUGAUGGCCUACCAAGGCGACGACGGGUAGCCGGCCUGAGAGGGCGACCGGCCACACUGGGACUGAGACACGGCCCAGACUCCUACGGGAGGCAGCAGUGGGGAAUAUUGCACAAUGGGCGGAAGCCUGAUGCAGCGACGCCGCGUGAGGGAUGACGGCCUUCGGGUUGUAAACCUCUUUCAGCAGGGACGAAGCGCAAGUGACGGUACCUGCAGAAGAAGCGCCGGCCAACUACGUGCCAGCAGCCGCGGUAAGACGUAGGGCGCGAGCGUUGUCCGGAUUUAUUGGGCGUAAAGAGCUCGUAGGCGGCUUGUCGCGUCGACUGU